GUUUUAAACACUUAGUGUAAGACUUUGUGUCGUCACAGCCUUUGUGAAUCCAAAGUAAACCUGAAACCAUUUCUACUUAGGUCAGAAAUGGAGUGUGCCCCCUGGUGGCCGAGUCAAAGGACUGCUGUGUUUGUAUAAAAGGGAGACGCUGAGCAAACAUACCUUCAUUUACGUGUGAGGUUGGGCUGGGAUCUGUGCAAACGCCAGUUCUUUGGGUUUCAAAGCUGGCUGCUCAGUUGGUGAUCUCUCCACACUGCACCCCUUCAUGCUGCAACUUCAGACCCAACAAAAGGCUUCCCUGCAGUGGUGGUUUCUUGCCUACUUCUAGAAGCAGACACAGUGAAGCAGCAGCGAUGGUAAAACCAACAAGAUAGCAACAAUGGAAACAGCUGAGCAGCCAACACAUCAAGUCACAGAGGUGACAGAGCAGUCUGAUGCGUGACAGCCGAAAAGGCAGACCUGAGAGGCAAGAAUGCAACUGAAGAGGGAUUGAAGAUUGUAAAGGACCAAACAGAUUGGCUGAGUGAGAUGGCUUAAUAGGAAAGAGGUGUUUGCUACAAAGACUGAAGACCUGAGUUGAAUCCCUGUGACCCACAUGACUCCUGCCUUGGUUGCUGGAAGAGUUAAUGAGUUCUAAGGAGCCAGUGGUCUUCCAGGAGCUGCAGAAUUGGCAGUCACCCAAAGGAUGAGCACUCUCAGCUCCAGCACCACGUCUGCCUGCACACUGCCAUGCUCCU